UACGUAGGGGGCAAGCGUUGUCCGGAUUUAUUGGGCGUAAAGAGCGUGUAGGCGGCUUGGUAGGUCCGCUGUGAAAACUCGAGGCUCAACCUCGAGAUGUCGGCGGAAACCACUUGGCUAGAGUCCGGAAGAGGAGAGUGGAAUUCCCUGGUGUAGCGGUGAAAUGCGCAGAUAUCAGGAAGAACACCUAUGGCGAAGGCAGCUCUCUGGGACGGUACUGACGCUGAGACGCGAAAGCGUGGGGAGCGAACAGG
rnacentral:rRNA from 1 species